UGCUCCCGAACCACCAGCUUUAGCAAGUCACUUCUCACCCUAACUCCAGGUACCUGGAAUCUGGAAAGAGCACCAACCCCCAACUGCUGGAUACCAGAGAUGCUAGAACGCUACAUCUGGAGCCAACUUGCAAAUAACUACAAAGUCCAGAGGCUGAGACUGAGGGACAGAGUGGACCUCCAGAAUCCGUGCACUGAGCUAAGGAAGGAAGACAGUGCUUACACCAAGUCUCUCAGCUAUGGCGCAAGAAGGAGAGGCACCGUUCACAAGCCCACUCUUCUGGGGCUCCCCUUAGGAAUGGAAGCCUUCCUCUUAUGAACCCCAACGGGAGCCUCCUCUGACCUCUCCGUACAGUUACUAUUCACCAGAUAUCCAUGUGCUACGUGGACAAGAGACAAGCAAGGGCAAAUUUCACUUCUGCCUCUUACCAGUUAGUUACAUAGCUCUGAACAAGUCAGAAGAGAACCGAAGAACUGACCAGGGGCCCCAUCAGGACUAACAGGGCUGCUAUCUGCAGGCGUGGGCACAGGUCCGCAGUUACUUUAUUUGUGGGCAUUAUUUAUCCUGUUUGUUCCAAAUUCAGGAGCAAUGCUCCAAACGACCUCAGGGGCUAUCCUGAAUGCAUCUAGGGAUAAGCGUGUUGGGGGAAUUGGUCAUCCCUGCAGCUCUGCCUGGGCUCAGGCCAGAUCCAAGGUAGUGAGGGUGAGCAUGCAGGUGGGAGUGGGGGCUGCCAUGGGCUAGUGGCUGUAGGAGUAGGGAGCUGGCUCCGUGUCCCCCACGUGGGAGGCUGCCUGGAUCUCAGGCAGUCCUGCCUUUCUGGUUAGGGCUUCCCAACUUUUGCGGCUGUCCUCAGGGGCAAGCUAUUUUAGGUAGCAGUCAAAAUAAAACUGAGAUUAACCCAGAA
rnacentral:lncRNA from 1 species